GCUGAGUCUGAGAAACGCUUGUCUCCCCUCGGCCUUGGUGGUGGACACUGAGGUCCUCCUGUGGGGCCGGGCCAGGGGGUGCCCAAGCAUAGGACGAAGUUCCCAGGAGAGCAUGCUCUGUGAGAAGCCCAGAGGCUCCUGCCCCUCCCCCAGAGUCACCCCCACUCUGUUUUUUCUGUCCUGCAGACACUACCCCAAGCAGUCCUUCACCAUGGUGGCGGACACCCCGGAAAACCUUCGCCUCAAGCAACAGAGUGAGCUCCAGAGUCAGGUGCGCUACAAGGAGGAGUUUGAGAAGAACAAGGGCAAAGGUUUCAGCGUAGUGGCAGACACGCCCGAGCUCCAGAGAAUCAAGAAGACCCAGGACCAGAUCAGUAACAUAAAAUACCAUGAGGAGUUUGAGAAGAGCCGCAUGGGCCCUAGCGGGGGCGAGGGCAUGGAGCCAGAGCGCCGGGAUUCGCAGGACGGCAGCAGCUACCGGCGGCCCCUGGAGCAGCAGCAGCCUCACCACAUCCCGACCAGUGCCCCGGUUUACCAGCAGCCCCAGCAGCAGCCGGUGGCCCAGUCCUAUGGUGGCUACAAGGAGCCUGCAGCCCCAGUCUCCAUACAGCGCAGCG
rnacentral:sRNA from 1 species